GGGGGCAUAGCUCAGUUGGGAGAGCAGCAGACUGAAGCUUUUCGGCAUUUCUGAAGGUCCCGCGUUCAAUCCGCGGUGCCCCCA